CUUAACCUCGGAAUUGCAGUCGAUACUGCUGUGACUCGAGUCCGGUAGAGGAGAAUGGAAUUCUCGGUGUAGCGGUGAAAUGCGCAGAUAUCGAGAGGAACACCAGUAGCGAAGGCGGUUCUCUGGGCCGGCACUGACGCUGAGGAGCGAAAGCGUGGGGAGCAAACAGGAUUAGAUACCCUGGCAGUCCACGCCGUAAACGUUGGAUACUAGGUGUGGCGGUCUUACCAACGACUGCUGUGCCGAAGCUAACGCAUUAAGUAUCCCGCCUGGGGAGUACGGCCGCAAGGCUAAAACUCAAAGGAAUUGACGGGUCCCCGCACAAGCGGCGGAGCAUGCGGCUUAAUUCGAUGCAACCCGAAGAACCUUACCUGGGUUUGACAUCACGGGAAAAGCUGUAGAAAUACAGUGUCCAUUAGGGCCC
rnacentral:rRNA from 1 species